AUUGAACGCUGGCGGCAGGCUUAACACAUGCAAGUCGAGCGGUAGCACAGGGGAGCUUGCUCCCUGGGUGACGAGCGGCGGACGGGUGAGUAAUGUCUGGGAAACUGCCUGAUGGAGGGGGAUAACUACUGGAAACGGUAGCUAAUACCGCAUAACGUCGCAAGACCAAAGAGGGGGACCUUCGGGCCUCUUUCCAUCAGAUGUUCCCAGAUGGGAUUAGCUAGUAGGUGGGGUAAUGGCUCACCUAGGCGACGAUCCCUAGCUGGUCUGAGAGGAUGACCGGCCACACUGGAACUGAGACACGGUCCAGACUCCUACGGGAGGCAGCAGUGGGGAAUAUUGCACAAUGGGCGCAAGCCUGAUGCAGCAAUGCCGCGUGUGUGAAGAAGGCCUUCGGGUUGUAAAGCACUUUCAGCGGGGAGGAAGGUGGUGAGAUUAAUACGUUCAUCAAUUGACGUUACUCGCAGAAGAAGCACCGGCUAACUCCGUG
rnacentral:rRNA from 1 species